AUAUUGGACCAUGUGGGAAACCCUGAACUAGCCAUCCCGCGUGUAUGAUGAAGGCCUUCGGCUUGUAAAGUACUUGUGGCUGAGAAGAAUAGGUACCCCCUAAUAUGAGAUCCUGCUGACGGUGUCUGCAGAAUAAGCACCCUCUAACUACGUGCCAGCAGCCGCGGUAAUACGUAGGGUGCAAGAGUUAAGCGGAAUUACUGGGCGUAAAGCGUGUGUAGGCGGUUCGGAAAGAAAAAUGUGAAGAACAAGAGCUCAACCUUGGAACUGCGUUUUUAACUGCAGAGCUAGAGUAUGUGAGAGGGGGGUAGAAUUCCACGUGUAGCAGUGAAAUGCGUAGAUAUGUGGGUAAAUACCGAUGGCGAAGACAGCCCCCUGGGAUAAUACUGACGCUCAGACACGAAAGCGUGGGGAGCAAAC
rnacentral:rRNA from 1 species